AACAAGUGGAUCGUUUUUAAUUGCCUCUUCACAUAGUAAUUAUCACAUUGUGACAGAUUAUAGAUGUAAAAAUUAAAUAUUUAGAGAUCUUAUUCAAUAUAGAUAAUCCACUCAUUUCUUGGGAUCCUUCAGCAGGAUCUGCAGAGCUGUAGGUGCUACACACAGUGAGAAAUAGCACAAGCUUUGACAGACUUUACCACAUUAUACUCUUAUCAUUAGUUCAUCUGGUAUUCAGAAACAUGUAUUCUGCCUUCUUCUGAUAUGAGCCAUUUAACUAGAAUAUGAAUAUAUUAGCACAUCACUGGUCAGAUUAGCAUAAGACACAAUCUAUUUCUGUCUAUUUUUUGUCUAUAACAGAAAGACACCUCCGAGACACGAACAGUGAGGCACUUCCACUUCACAGCAUGGCCGGAUCACGGUGUUCCCGCUGGCACAGAGGAGCUGAUUCAAUUCAGAGCACUCAUUCGUCAGCACAUAGAGAGCUCUUUCUCUGCAGGGCCAACAAUUGUACACUGCAGUGCCGGAGUGGGCCGGACAGGUACCCUGAUAGCGCUGGACGUCCUGCUACAGCAGCUGCACAAAGAGAAGGCGGUGGGAAUUGCAGCGUUUGUCAAGCAAAUGAGACUCAGCCGGCCACUAAUGGUGCAAACUGAGGUAACGCUGAUUUAGAUACAUAAUUGUAAAAAGGAUUUACUUUUAGAGCAAUUUAGCAUAGAAUUGGGUUCUAGGUGGUGGUAUUAUUAUUGUGGCGAUUAUUUUGAAAAUGAUGAAUAUAGCCUAUUUGGGCUAUGGAUAGCUUUUUUCCUGGAGGAUCCAAACACUUAAAAAAAGGCUGCUGUGGUCACCAGAAUUUUACUGUCAAAAUUCCAUCUCAGACUAUAUAUUUUACGGUAUGUAACCACAUAUGUGACCCUGGACCACAAAACCAGUCUUAAGUCGCUGGGGUAUAUUUGUAGCAAUAGCCACAAAUACAUUGUAUGGGUCAAAAUGAUUGAUUUUUCUUUUAUGCCAAAAAUC
rnacentral:lncRNA from 1 species